CCCGCUGAACUUAAGCAUAUCAAUAAGCGGUGGAAAAGAAAAUAACCAUGAUUCCCUUAGUAACGGCGAGUGAAGUGGGAAGUGCUCAAAUUUAAAAUCCCUUUUGGGAAUUGUAAUUUAUAGAAUAAAUGGUUAGUAAGUGGAGAUUAAAGUCUGCUGGAAAGCAUGCGCUAGAAAGGGUGAUAGCCCCGUUCAGUCUCUUAACUUGCUUCUAUGCCAUUAUUUCAACGAGUCAGGUUGCUUGGGAAUGCAGCCUAAAUUUGGUGGUAAACUCCAUCUAAAGCUAAAUAUUGAUCAGUGACCGAUAGCAAACAAGUACCGUGAGGGAAAGAUGAAAAGAACCUUGAAAAGGGGGUUAAAAGUACGUGAAAUUGUUAUUAGGAAAGCACUUAAUCUCAUUGUGGAUUAAAUCAGUCUGUUUCGGCAGAUACUGUUUUAAUUAGUUAUGAUCAGUUAAGGUUGAUAAAGAAAAUUUGUGACAAGGUAUUAGUGUAGUGCUAAACUUACAGGUCACUUAUUAUUUGUCGAUAUUGACUGAGGAAUGCUACUUAAUCUUUUUGGGUUAAUAGUUUAUGGAGUUGGGCUAAACAACAUGUUGAUUAGCUUAAUUAAAGUGAUCUAUUGAUUUUAAAACUUAAGUACAGGAUCAUAAUUAAAUGAUAUUAAAUGACCCGUCUUGAAACACGG
rnacentral:rRNA from 1 species